AACUUUAUCUCUUUUGGUGCAAGAUGUAUUCAUCACCACUUGAAAAUGAGCAGGUCCUGAGACUUGUAGACCUUUUAGCCAGCUUCACCUCUGUAACUGCAUCCUAGUAUAUAUGCUGUGUGGGCAAUAUUGGUCAUCAAACUCCACUGGAGCAUGGAGCUGGUGCAGACUGCAUGGAGAGUCAGGUGAGAAACCCAUGAAAUCUGUUCUUAUUACUCCAUUGAUUCAAAUGGCAGCACUUGCAGAAGCGUGCUAGUGAGGGGCCUUGCAGAUGUCCACUCUGAUCAUGAAGUUGAUAUUUCUACCUGCUCGAGCACUGAUGUUUUUCUGCAGAGUUUUCAGCAAGGACAAUUGCUGGAGGGCCCUGACAGCAGCAUCCUCAGGCAAGCA
rnacentral:lncRNA from 1 species